AUCAGCAUGCAGACCUUCCAUAGUGAGGGAUCUGAUGGCAGACACCUCCUCGAGGGGAGAGCAGCAGCAGAGGCCUUAGGCAGCAAGCAGGUAGAGCACAGAGCAAGUCCAGGAGGGAGAUGUAGGUCAUGAGGAAUCUGUUGUCAGAAAACCUGCCUUCGUGGUUGUUGGACCCUCUUUUGUCCUCCUUCUUCCCUGUCUACGUGACAUUCCUGGGCGCAUGGCUGCUGCAUUUGGGCCUGUCCUCGUUUGUUGUAGCUGCAGACUUUGCCACCCUGCUAUUUUUCAUUGCAUUAUAGUGUUACAGGGUUUUUGAAGUGGGGAAGCUGCAGGAGUGGCCUCUAUGGGAAGAGAAGAACAUAAGCUGUGCAGCAUUAGGUAAGCUGACUCCAAAAAGGGACUUGCUGUUGGCAAAAACUGAGCCAUCAGCAAUGUUAUUUACAAUUUUGAGAGGAGAUUUAAGAACGGCAAAAAAAUUCUACUGCACAACAGCAAUUAGGAGAGUGGUGUGAGAAAAUUUAGGGAGAAACAAUCCCUCAGCACCUGUGUUGGUGCAGAGGCAGGCAGGUGGUGAUCUAGACAUGGAGCGGAAGUUCCCUGCAUCCCAUGGAGAGGCCCGUGAUGGACCAGACUGUUCCCCUGCAGUCCAUGGUCACCACACAGAGCAGAUGUUCAUGUGUAGCCAUGGAGGAGCCUACAGUACAGCAGUGGAUGUGGCCCAAAGGCUGCAGCCCAUGGAGAGCCCCCACAAGAGCAGCUCUACACCUGAACUGUGGCUCAUGGAGAGGAGCUGCCUGGCAGGGCAGCUGCCACCAGUGUGGACUAUGUGCACCUGAAGUGCACUCUAUGAUACAGACUCACACUGGAGAAGUUCUUGAAGAACCUCACACUGGAAGAAAGUGAAGGUGAAUGAGCAGCAGAGAUAAAACAUUACAGACUGACUAUAAACCCAUCAUUGCUUGGGUGGGAGGUGGAGGAGGAUGUAGAAGGUGGAUGAAGAAAGUGUUUUCUGUUUGCUUUCAAGACUCAUUUCUCUAUUAUUACUUAUUGCUAAUAAAUUAAUCUUCCCCAAGAAUGGUCUUUUUUCUUUUUCCUAUGACACUAAUUGGUGAGUGAUCUCUUGAUCUCAGAUGGUGAGAUUUUGUUAUCUUUUCUCCUCCCCCCUUUUCCAUUGAGAAGAAAGGAUGUGAAGUCCACUUGGUGUCCAGCCAAAAAUAACCCACAUAGCAGAGAAUGAUUCUAGAUGAUAAAGAGAUUGUAAAUAUGAAGAAUGAUUAUAUGUAAGUUAUUUGAUGAGUAUGGCUCUUUGUUUGCCUGUUUUCUGAUUUGUAUUUCAUAUUAAGUGAAUACUCACAGAUAGCACAAUACUUGAAUGUCUCCUGAACUUGAACUUAAAGAUUCCUGUGUGUUACUUUCAUUUUAUACAUGUACAAACUGUAAACACCUAUGGCAUUAUUAAGUCUUGUACAAGUCUAAGUUAGAAUGUUGGUAUUCUGAGUGUUAGUUCUCUGACUUAGUAUAUCAGCAUCUCUCAUGUCACAUUUAAGUAAAUAAGUUUAGAAUAUGAUACGGAAUAAUGCAUCUUAGAAAGAGUUAUUGUGAUAAACCAUACAAAGCAGGGCUAUUGUGGUGCACAAAGGGAAUUUAUAGGAAAAUCAAGGUUGAAGUGUUAUUAAAAAACAAAGUUUUUCAAAGACUCCCUAACUCUCCAGUUGAAUUCUCAGCUCUAGCUCUGUAAAGGAAGGAAAUAGGGCAAGAGGAAGUUACUUCCUGCACUGUAUUCUAUUUUUAUGUAUUCUACAUUGAAGCAUUAUUCAGUAUACUACAGAAGGAUUCCAUUAUUAAUGCUACCUUGGCUUGAUGUUUUGUGCUGAUGUUAGGUCUAUAUGAUCCUUUUGAAGAAUAUAUUUUAUUUUAGCCUUACACUGUAUUUUUCUUUUUUAAAAAUUUCUUUGUAAUUUUCAAAUUUCAUCCAACGAAAUUUUAAGUUGAACAUAAAAUUAAAUCAAUGCAAGCCUAUGGGGAAAGUCCAAAAAUAGUGUUACAAAAUUUAAAUGAUGUUACUCCAAAUAGAAAUAUAUUUAAAUAUGAAACUAG
ensembl:lncRNA